AUGUGACAUAGAUAUCAUGGGUAAAACACACCCAUGCAAGUUGCUUUCCAAGUUUGCUUCCAUGUGGCAUCCAUAUUCAGGCCAAUGCAUUACCAAAGGCACCCAUUCUCUUAGAGAAGCCAUGACAUCUUGUGCCCACUGUCAGCAAUGCAAUUUUCUUGUGCCUUUUCUGGAAGCAGUGGUGGUCAAGUCUUCACUCUGAAGCUGAGUGAAUAAAUUGAGUACUGAGUAUCCUUUAGUAAUGCCCUUAUGGCCUGAAGUAGACUCUGUUUAUUUGUCUAAAUGACUGUAUUUACAUGGAUGUGGUAGGUUAGUUAGGUUUUCUUGACCUUGGAGUAGUGGCUUCCUACUGUAGGAGGCAUCCUCUGUGUCCUGUGCCUCCUGGCAGUGCAUUGCCCUCUUGUCACCCAAGCUGUAUGCUCUAAGGGGUUCCCCCAAGAGGGCUGCGUGGGUCCUUCUGUUGUGGCAGGCUGACUGUGUGGGUGGCCAGAUAGGCUUGGUUGGCCGCUACUCUGGCUGACUGCCAGGCACUGCCUGUGAGGAUGCUGCUGGCUGCUGUUGAGUGAGGCCUGGUCCCUAGGUGGCUGGUGGUGGAAUCCUAGGGGCCCCUGCGAUUAGUGCUGGCUCAGUGGUGGGUGGAGCCAGGGUCCUGAAGACUGGGGCAGUUGCCUACCCACUGGCAGAUGAAGCCAGAUCCUGGGGCUAGGUCUGGACUGCUGGCAUGCAGAGCUGAUUCCUGGAGUCUGGCUCCAUGGCCAGGGAUCCCAGAGCUUGCUUCAGAUUGUUGAAGGGAAGGCCAAGUCAUAACGUAAUUGAGUACGGGGUCCAGGGUGUCAGAAAGGUAGUGCUGGCCCGCUAGUGGGCUGGGCUAGGGUCAGCUGGUCCCAGGCCGCAGCCUGGCCUGCACCGGGGAUGAUAACUUCCUUGUUUCUGGUGUCUGUCCUCUUGCGGGUGACGCUUCCUGGUGGGAGGGCCGGGGCCUGCUCACUGGUGGGUGGAGCUAGGUUCUGGCCCUCCAAUGGGUUGAACUGCAGUUCAGGAGCCUGUCUGGACACAGCUGUGGGCCCUUUAGCCUUUUAUUAGCCUGACUGCUGAUGGGGUUGUUUGGCUUGAGGAGUCCCAGAUUCAGCUGGACGGAGGCUCCGGAUGCAUGCACCAGUGCCAGCGUCCUCGGCUUUCUCGCGAGAAGGCACUCCCGGGUAUGGCUAUGCCAGAGUCUGUGUUCCUGAGGGAGCUGCAGGCGACCACCACCCACAACCAGCUCUCCAGGAGACUCUCCGAGACCAGCAGUUCUUAAGAAUUCUGCUGUUUGGAAACAGAGGGGCUAAAGGAGGUGAAGAACAAGAACAGAAAACCCAAUUCAGUAGUUGCUAGAAGUCACAAGCUCCCAGCUACAACGGUGGAUGAGAAUGAAUACUGGAGGAGCUGCUAAAAGAACCCUAGUACAGCCUCCUCUCUGUAGCCGAAGGACCAGGUAACAAGAGAAAAACCUUCACCCAAUAACCGGUGUAGAGUAAGCCCCAGCCUCAUCCUUUCUAGC